UCGUUAAUAGCGGCAUCAUUUGACGUUAGCUGCAGAAGAAGCACCGGCUAACUCCGUGCCAGCAGCCGCGGUAAUACGGAGGGUGCGAGCGUUAAUCGGAAUUACUGGGCGUAAAGCGCAUGCAGGUGGUUUGUUAAGUCAGAUGUGAAAGCCCGGGGCUCAACCUCGGAAUUGCAUUUGAAACUGGCAGACUAGAGUACUGUAGAGGGGGGUAGAAUUUCAGGUGUAGCGGUGAAAUGCGUAGAGAUCUGAAGGAAUACCGGUGGCGAAGGCGGCCCCCUGGACAGAUACUGACACUCAGAUGCGAAAGCGUGGGGAGCAAACAGGAUUAGAUACCCUGGUAGUCCACGCCGUAAACGAUGUCUACUUGGAGGUUGUGGCCUUGAGCCGUGGCUUUCGGAGCUAACGCGUUAAGUAGACCGCCUGGGGAGUACGGUCGCAAGAUUAAAACUCAAAUGAAUUGACGGGGGCCCGCACAAGCGGUGGAGCAUGUGGUUUAAUUCGAUGCAACGCGAAGAACCUUACCUACUCUUGACAUCCUCAGAAGCUUGUAGAGAUACGAGUGUGCCUUCGGGAACUGAGAGACAGGUGCUGCAUGGCUGUCGUCAGCUCGUGUUGUGAAAUGUUGGGUUAAGUCCCGCAACGAGCGCAACCCUUAUCCUUGUUUGCCAGCACUUCGGGUGGGAACUCCAGGGAGACUGCCGGUGAUAAACCGGAGGAAGGUGGGGACGAC
rnacentral:rRNA from 1 species